GAUAACCAGUCGAAAGAUUGGCUAAUACCGGAUAAGCCCACGGUCUCUUCGGAGACUGAGGGAAAAGGUGGCCUCUGUAUACAAGCUAUCACAACCAGAUGAGUCCGCGGCCCAUCAGCUAGUUGGCGGGGUAAUGGCCCACCAAGGCAACGACGGGUAGCUGGUCUGAGAGGACGAUCAGCCACACUGGAACUGAGACACGGUCCAGACUCCUACGGGAGGCAGCAGUGGGGAAUUUUGCGCAAUGGGCGAAAGCCUGACGCAGCAACGCCGCGUGUGUGAUGAAGGUCUUUGGAUUGUAAAGCACUUUCGACCGGGACGAAACCGUAAAGCCUAAUACGCUUUGCCUUGACGGUACCGGGAGAAGAAGCACCGGCUAACUCUGUGCCAGCAGCCGCGGUAAUACAGAGGGUGCAAGCGUUGUUCGGAAUUAUUGGGCGUAAAGCGCGUGUAGGCGGCUUUGCAAGUCGGGUGUGAAAGCCCUCAGCUCAACUGAGGAAGUGCGCCCGAAACUGCAGAGCUUGAGUGCCGGAGAGGGUGGCGGAAUUCCCCAAGUAGAGGUGAAAUUCGUAGAUAUGGGGAGGAACACCGGUGGCGAAGGCGGNCACCUGGACGGUAACUGACGCUGAGACGCGAAAGCGUGGGUAGCAAACAGGAUUAGAUACCCUGGUAGUCCACGCCGUAAACGAUGAGAACUAGGUGUCGGGGGAGUUGACCCCCG
rnacentral:rRNA from 1 species